rnacentral:misc_RNA from 1 species
UUUCCGUAGGUGAACCUGCGGAAGGAUCAUUAACACUUUUUAUGGUUCGAAUGGUUUUGGGGGUUUUUCCUUCAAAAUCAAUUCAAUCCUAUUCUACCCAAAUAUUGAAGCGCGAGUGGGGAAAGAGAGCGUGGUUUUUUUCCUUUUUGGAAAACGACGAUCGAUUUCUCCCCCUUUUUUCUCUCUUUUUUUUUCCCAUUUAACCCCAAAACAAAACCUUUUUUCUAACCACAUGCGAUUGACAAUUCUUAAAAACGAAAAAGUUGUUUGAAAAGAACAACAAAACAGCCAAAUAACUCUUAGCAACGGAUAUCUUGGCUCUC